CUGUGAGCUCGAUGAGUAGGGCGGGACACGUGGUAUCCUGUCUGAAUAUGGGGGGACCAUCCUCCAAGGCUAAAUACUCCUGACUGACCGAUAGUGAACCAGUACCGUGAGGGAAAGGCGAAAAGAACCCCGGCGAGGGGAGUGAAAAAGAACCUGAAACCGUGUACGUACAAGCAGUGGGAGCACAGAGCAAUCUGUGUGACUGCGUACCUUUUGUAUAAUGGGUCAGCGACUUAUAUUCUGUAGCAAGGUUAACCGAAUAGGGGAGCCGAAGGGAAACCGAGUCUUAACUGGGCGUUAAGUUGCAGGGUAUAGACCCGAAACCCGGUGAUCUAGCCAUGGGCAGGUUGAAGGUUGGGUAACACUAACUGGAGGACCGAACCGACUAAUGUUGAAAAAUUAGCGGAUGACUUGUGGCUGGGGGUGAAAGGCCAAUCAAACCGGGAGAUAGCUGGUUCUCCCCGAAAGCUAUUUAGGUAGCGCCUCGUGAAUUCAUCUCCGGGGGUAGAGCACUGUUUCGGCAAGGGGGUCAUCCCGACUUACCAACCCGAUGCAAACUGCGAAUACCGGAGAAUGUUAUCACGGGAGACACACGGCGGGUGCUAACGUCCGUCGUGAAGAGGGAAACAACCCAGACCGCCAGCUAAGGUCCCAAAGUCAUGGUUAAGUGGGAAACGAUGUGGGAAGGCCCAGACAGCCAGGAUGUUGGCUUAGAAGCAGCCAUCAUUUAAAGAAAGCGUAAUAGCUCACUGGUCGAGUCGGCCUGCGCGGAAGAUGUAACGGGGCUAAACCAUGCACCGAAGCUGCGGCAGCGACGCUUAUGCGUUGUUGGGUAGGGGAGCGUUCUGUAAGCCUGCGAAGGUGUGCUGUGAGGCAUGCUGGAGGUAUCAGAAGUGCGAAUGCUGACAUAAGUAACGAUAAAGCGGGUGAAAAGCCCGCUCGCCGGAAGACCAAGGGUUCCUGUCCAACGUUAAUCGGGGCAGGGUGAGUCGACCCCUAAGGCGAGGCCGAAAGGCGUAGUCGAUGGGAAACAGGUUAAUAUUCCUGUACUUGGUGUUACUGCGAAGGGGGGACGGAGAAGGCUAUGUUGGCCGGGCGACGGUUGUCCCGGUUUAAGCGUGUAGGCUGGUUUUCCAGGCAAAUCCGGAAAAUCAAGGCUGAGGCGUGAUGACGAGGCACUACGGUGCUGAAGCAACAAAUGCCCUGCUUCCAGGAAAAGCCUCUAAGCAUCAGGUAACAUCAAAUCGUACCCCAAACCGACACAGGUGGUCAGGUAGAGAAUACCAAGGCGCUUGAGAGAACUCGGGUGAAGGAACUAGGCAAAAUGGUGCCGUAACUUCGGGAGAAGGCACGCUGAUAUGUAGGUGAAGUCCCUCGCGGAUGGAGCUGAAAUCAGUCGAAGAUACCAGCUGGCUGCAACUGUUUAUUAAAAACACAGCACUGUGCAAACACGAAAGUGGACGUAUACGGUGUGACGCCUGCCCGGUGCCGGAAGGUUAAUUGAUGGGGUCAGCGCAAGCGAAGCUCUUGAUCGAAGCCCCGGUAAACGGCGGCCGUAACUAUAACGGUCCUAAGGUAGCGAAAUUCCUUGUCGGGUAAGUUCCGACCUGCACGAAUGGCGUAAUGAUGGCCAGGCUGUCUCCACCCGAGACUCAGUGAAAUUGAACUCGCUGUGAAGAUGCAGUGUACCCGCGGCAAGACGGAAAGACCCCGUGAACCUUUACUAUAGCUUGACACUGAACAUUGAGCCUUGAUGUGUAGGAUAGGUGGGAGGCUUUGAAGUGUGGACGCCAGUCUGCAUGGAGCCGACCUUGAAAUACCACCCUUUAAUGUUUGAUGUUCUAACGUUGACCCGUAAUCCGGGUUGCGGACAGUGUCUGGUGGGUAGUUUGACUGGGGCGGUCUCCUCCUAAAGAGUAACGGAGGAGCACGAAGGUUGGCUAAUCCUGGUCGGACAUCAGGAGGUUAGUGCAAUGGCAUAAGCCAGCUUGACUGCGAGCGUGACGGCGCGAGCAGGUGCGAAAGCAGGUCAUAGUGAUCCGGUGGUUCUGAAUGGAAGGGCCAUCGCUCAACGGAUAAAAGGUACUCCGGGGAUAACAGGCUGAUACCGCCCAAGAGUUCAUAUCGACGGCGGUGUUUGGCACCUCGAUGUCGGCUCAUCACAUCCUGGGGCUGAAGUAGGUCCCAAGGGUAUGGCUGUUCGCCAUUUAAAGUGGUACGCGAGCUGGGUUUAGAACGUCGUGAGACAGUUCGGUCCCUAUCUGCCGUGGGCGCUGGAGAACUGAGGGGGGCUGCUCCUAGUACGAGAGGACCGGAGUGGACGCAUCACUGGUGUUCGGGUUGUCAUGCCAAUGGCACUGCCCGGUAGCUAAAUGCGGAAGAGAUAAGUGCUGAAAGCAUCUAAGCACGAAACUUGCCCCGAGAUGAGUUCUCCCUGACUCCUUGAGAGUCCUGAAGGAACGUUGAAGACGACGACGUUGAUAGGCCGGGUGUGUAAGCGCAGCGAUGCGUUGAGCUAACCGGUACUAAUGAACCGUGAGGCUUAACCUUACAACGCCGAAGGUGUUU
rnacentral:rRNA from 1 species